UACGGAGGGGGCUAGCGUUGUUCGGAAUUACUGGGCGUAAAGCGCGCGUAGGCGGACCUGCAAGUCGGGGGUGAAAGCCCGAGGCUCAACCUCGGAACUGCCUUCGAUACUGCGGGUCUCGAGUCCGGGAGAGGUGAGUGGAAUUCCUAGUGUAGAGGUGAAAUUCGUAGAUAUUCGCAAGAACACCAGUGGCGAAGGCGGCUCACUGGUCCGGUACUGACGCUGAGGUGCGAAAGCGUGGGGAGCAAACAGG
rnacentral:rRNA from 1 species